rnacentral:lncRNA from 1 species
CUGACUCCACUAGGCUGGCUGGACAUGGAACUCCAGGGAUUCUCCUGUGUCUGCCUCCAUGUUGCCGGGGUUGUAAGUGUGCGGACUGCUCAGCUUUUUUUGUGGAUGCUGGGGACCAAACUCAGGACCUCCUCAUGCAGCAAGCAUCUUACCAACUUAGCCACUGGCUCUAAAGAUUUUUGAGAUGAAUGUUCCAUGUUCUUUACGUCUUCGAGGAAGUUGAAGUUGGAUGGAUGAGGUGGCUUAUCAACUCACAGAAGCACUAAGCAUGCUUUUCUGCCUGACUCUAAAAUGCAUUCACUUUCCACUAAACUAUAAUCAUCACCAAAAUGAAGUCAGGUGGUGUCAACUGUACUUGAUCUUGGACGAUAAUAUGAAGGCCAGAUGAGCCAUGGGGCUAGAAUUCAAACCCAGGUCCCCAAAAAUCAAUCCUAGCCAAGAGCAUUGGCCGUAAGAGUCAUACAAGUAGAAGUUUAAAUCCAGCCUAUUGAACUCACAAGUGACUAGAUGAACCAGCAAGAUGCUAAACAUCCUGGAUGAAGAGAAGCUUGGUUGUUCACGUGUCCAGUUACAAACACAGAUCAUGUUAGGCAAGGAGAAGGCGACAUGCUGUUGGGCAAGUAACUGGGCUGUGAAGUUUACUAUGGGGACCAGGAAAGGACCGUCUCAAAUGAGACAUUUAAACAGCAACCUGAAGGAGGUCCUGUGGUGAUUGUGUGAGGUUUGUGAGACAGCUGUUCUCACUGAGGUGAGUGACACGGAGCAGGCUGGGAGAGUGUCCUUCCUUCCUUCCUUCCUUCCUUCCUUCCUUCCUUCCUUCCUUCCUUCCUUCCCUCCCUCUGUCCCUCCCUCCUUUUCCUUUUCCUUGGGAAACAAAACCACA